AGCGGGGUAGGGUAGCCAGGUCCAUCCCGCCGGGCUCAUAACCCGGAGAUCGGAGGUUCAAAUCCUCCCCCCGCUA
rnacentral:tRNA from 3 species